rnacentral:rRNA from 1 species
CCUCGAUGUCGGCUCAUCGCAUCCUGGGGCUGGAGAAGGUCCCAAGGGUUAGGCUGUUCGCCUAUUAAAGCGGUACGCGAGCUGGGUUUAGAACGUCGUGAGACAGUUCGGUCUGUAUCCGCCGUGGGCGCAGGAGAUUUGAGAGGGUCUGUCCCUAGUACGAGAGGACCGGGAUGGACGAACCUCUAGUGUACCAGUUGUACCACCAGGUGCAUCGCUGGGUAGCUAUGUUCGGACGGGAUAACCGCUGAAAGCAUCUAAGUGGGAAGCCUUCCUCAAGAUAAGAUCUCCCCUUCGCUCGCUUCGGCGUGCGAUCUGAAGGCCCCUGGAAGACUACCAGGUUGAUAGGCUGGAGGUAUAAGCAUGGCGACAUGUUCAGCCGACCAGUACUAAUAGGCCGUGAGACUUGACCU